rnacentral:rRNA from 1 species
UUAAGUUAAUAAGGGCACACGGUGGAUGCCUUGGCGUUAGGAGCCGAAGAAGGACGCAGCGAACUGCGAUAAGCCUCGGGGAGUGGUAAGCACACUUUGAUCCGGGGAUCUCCGAAUGGGGAAACCCACCAUCUGUAAUGGGAUGGUAUCCUUCACUGAAUACAUAGGUGAUGAGAGGGCAGACCCGGUGAACUGAAACAUCUAAGUAGCCGGAGGAAGAGAAAACAAUAGUGAUUCCGUCAGUAGUGGCGAGCGAACGCGGAAGAGCCUAAACCGUAGGAUUUAUCCUACGGGGUUGUGGGGCGUUUCAUAUAGGAGUUACAAAAGACAGAUGUAGGUGAACAGUUUGGGAAGACUGACCAAAGAGCGUGAUAGUCGCGUAACCCAAACAUCUGUCUCUCCGAGACCAACCCCGAGUAGCGCGGGACACGUGAAAUCCCGUGUGAAUCUGGCAGGACCAUCUGCUAAGGCUAAAUACUACCUAACGACCGAUAGUGAACCAGUACCGUGAGGGAAAGGUGAAAAGCACCCCGGGAGGGGAGUGAAAUAGUACCUGAAACCGUGUGCUUACAAAUAGUCGGAGCACUUUCUAUGUGUGACGGCGUGCCUUUUGUAGAAUGAACCGGCGAGUUACGAUAGCGUGCGAGGUUAAGUCGAAGAGACGGAGCCGUAGCGAAAGCGAGUCUGAAUAGGGCGAAAGUACGUUGUCGUAGACCCGAAACCGUGUGAUCUAGCCAUGUCCAGGGUGAAGGUAGGGUAACACCUACUGGAGGCCCGAACCCACGCACGUUGAAAAGUGCGGGGAUGAGGUGUGGCUAGCGGUGAAAUUCCAAUCGAACUCGGAGAUAGCUGGUUCUCCCCGAAAUAGCUUUAGGGCUAGCCUCGGAAUAAAGAGUCUUGGAGGUAGAGCACUGAUUGGACUAGGGGCCCUCAUCGGGUUACCGAAUUCAGUCAAACUCCGAAUGCCAAGUACUUAUGUCCGGGAGUCAGACGGUGAGUGCUAAGAUCCAUCGUCAAAAGGGAAACAGCCCAGACCAUCAGCUAAGGCCCCCAAGUGUAUGUUAAGUGGGAAACGAUGUGGAGUUGCCCAGACAACCAGGAUGUUGGCUUAGAAGCAGCCACCAUUUAAAGAGUGCGUAAUAGCUCACUGGUCGAGUGACUCUGCGCGGAAAAUGUAACGGGGCUAAACAUACCGCCGAAGCUAUGGCAGUCCUUACGGACUGGGUAGGGGAGCGUUCCAAGCAGCAGUGAAGCCGUAUCGUGAGGAGCGGUGGAGCGCUUGGAAGUGAGAAUGCCGGUGUAAGUAGCGAAAAGACAAGUGAGAAUCUUGUCCACCGAAAGCCUAAGGUUUCCUGGGGAAGGCUCGUCCUCCCAGGGUUAGUCGGGACCUAAGCUGAGGCCGAAAGGCGUAGGCGAUGGACAACUGGUUGAUAUUCCAGUACCACCUCUGUUCCGCUUGAGCAAUGGCGUGACGCAGGAGGAUAGGGUGAGCGGCCUAUUGGAUGGCCGUCUAAGCAGUAAGUGUGGUGUGUAGGCAAAUCCGCACACCAUCAAGCACAAGCUGUGAUGGCGAGGGAAAUAUAAGUACCGAAGUCCCUGAUUUCACACUGCCAAGAAAAGCGUCUAGCGAGGAACAAGGUGCCCGUACCGCAAACCGACACAGGUAGGCGAGGAGAGAAUCCUAAGGUGCGCGGGAUAACUCUUGCUAAGGAACUCGGCAAAAUGGCCCCGUAACUUCGGGAGAAGGGGCGCCUCGGUAGGGUUUAUAGCCCGAGGAGGCCGCAGUGAAAAGGCCCAAGCGACUGUUUAGCAAAAACACAGGUCUCUGCGAAGCCGCAAGGCGAAGUAUAGGGGCUGACGCCUGCCCGGUGCUGGAAGGUUAAGGGGAUGAGUUAGCGCAAGCGAAGCUUUGAACCGAAGCCCCAGUAAACGGCGGCCGUAACUAUAACGGUCCUAAGGUAGCGAAAUUCCUUGUCGGGUAAGUUCCGACCCGCACGAAAGGCGUAACGACUUGGGCGCUGUCUCGGCAAGAGACCCGGUGAAAUCAUAAUACCUGUGAAGAUGCAGGUUACCCGCGACAAGACGGAAAGACCCCAUGGAGCUUUACUGUAGCCUGGUAUUGAAACUUUGUGCAUCAUGUACAGAAUAGGUGGGAAGCUGUGAAGCGAGGGCGCCAGCCUUCGUGGAGCUGUCGUUGGGAUACCACCCUUGAUGUACGGAGUUUCUAACUUGCCGCCCUUAUCGGGUGGAAGGACCAUGCCAGGUGGGCAGUUUGACUGGGGCGGUCGCCUCCCUAAAGAGUAACGGAGGCGCCCAAAGGUUCCCUCAGAAUGGUCGGAAAUCAUUCGUAGAGUGUAAAGGCACAAGGGAGCUUGACUGCGAGACCUACAAGUCGAGCAGGGACGAAAGUCGGGCUUAGUGAUCCGGUGGUUCCGCAUGGAAGGGCCAUCGCUCAACGGAUAAAAGCUACCCUGGGGAUAACAGGCUUAUCUCCCCCAAGAGUCCACAUCGACGGGGAGGUUUGGCACCUCGAUGUCGGCUCAUCGCAUCCUGGGGCUGAAGUAGGUCCCAAGGGUUGGGCUGUUCGCCCAUUAAAGCGGUACGCGAGCUGGGUUCAGAACGUCGUGAGACAGUUCGGUCCCUAUCUGUCGCGGGCGUAGGAAGUUUGAGGAGAGCUGUCCUUAGUACGAGAGGACCGGGAUGGACGCACCUCUGGUGCACCAGUUGUCACGCCAGUGGCACAGCUGGGUAGCUAUGUGCGGACGGGAUAAGCGCUGAAAGCAUCUAAGCGUGAAGCCCCCUUCAAGAUGAGACUUCCCAUAGCGCAAGCUAGUAAGACCCCUUAUAGACGAUGAGGUUGAUAGGUUCGGUGUGGAAGUGCAGUAAUGCAUGGAGCUGACGAAUACUAAUCGGUCGAGGACUUAUCCAC